rnacentral:rRNA from 1 species
CUACAAGGGUAUCUAAUCCUGUUUGCUCCCCACGCUUUCGCACCUCAGCGUCAAUACUUGUCCAGCGAGUCGCCUUCGCCACUGGUGUUCUUCCGAAUAUCUACGAAUUUCACCUCUACACUCGGAAUUCCACUCGCCUCUCCAAGAUUCUAGUCUAGCAGUUUCAAGGGCAGUUCCGGGGUUGAGCCCCGGGAUUUCACCCCUGACUUAAUAGACCGCCUACGCGCGCUUUACGCCCAGUAAUUCCGAACAACGCUAGCUCCCUCCGUAUUACCGCGGCUGCUGGCAC